AUUUAUCAAUAAUUUAUCAAUAUCUGUCACAGAAAUUUAUCUUUAACUAAGGAAAAGUAUUAAAUAAUUUGGAACAUUAAAAUCAAUGCUUCAACGAUGAUUUCUCUUCAAAUGAUGAAUCCAGUUAAAUAUUAAAUUAUCAAUAAUUUAUCAAUAUCUGUCACAGAAAUUUAUCUUUAACUAAAGAAAAGUAUCAAAUAAUUUGGACCAUUAAAAUCAAUGCUUCAACGAUGGUAAAUUAAUAAUAACAAUUUCUAAAAGAAAAUAUUAAUUGGAAAAAUAAAUUUAUUAAAUUGAGAAGAGAAUCAUGAAGGUGAAAAGUCAAUGGGAAGGCAAUAAAAAAUGUUACCAAUAAAAAUCCAUCAAAGGGAAGUGAACGGAGGUUGUAGGAGAAGAUCAUGAUGCGCGAUAUCGGCGAUCAGUGAACGCUUAUUCCGUUUCCGGUUCCGGUUCGUCGAGCCACAUCACUUUCCCAUGAAAUGAUCUCGCCUCCACGAGCAAAGCCUUUAUAUCGACUUGGCGAUUCGAAAAGAAUCGCUGCCCCACCCUUUCAGUUUCGAUUGACACGCAAGCGAGUAUCUGUGAGGAGUCAGUGAACAGUAAUCAAUCAGAAAUAUUCGAAUCAGCGACCGUAAAAGAACGAUGGAUAUUGUUUGCUCGUCCGUGGCCAUUGGUCGAUCAUUUCUCUCUCGUUAAGAGAGAGAGAGAGACAGAGAAAAAGUUCAAUCACGGAUAUAAACACUGGGAAGAAAGUGGAAAUAUCUUUUUAAUAUUGUUGAUAUUUCAUUUUUGUUUUAUGCAAAAAAAAAAAAAGGAUCAAAAAUUAGAUGGAAAGAUUCUUUGAUAAUUUCGUUUAUCACUUUUCUUGAUUAUUUUUAUUUCAAGUGUCUCCUUAAGAUUGAAAAUUGAGAUUUGAAAGAAUUGAAAGGACACAGCUGACCGAUCCGCCAACUGUUCACUUUCAUUUAUGCAAUUCCGUUACCGCGAUCGAUGAAAAACUUGGGCGACGAACAAUGAUCUAUCGAAUUAUCCGAUCCGAGAAAUUGAGGAAAAACUUGUUUGUACGGAUAAUAUUUUUUCCUUUUUCCAGGAAGAGGGAAAUCCUUUCUGAAAAUGAAUCUGAAAGAAAAUUUGAAGAUAAAAAAAUUUCAUCGCCGUGUAAACAAUAUUUAACUUUCAACUUUUAUUGGAACAGAGAUGAUUAGAGUGUGAUGGAUAAUGGAUAAUAUAAAAGGAAAUAUCUUGUGCGAGGAAAUUAUCUACAAUUAUUAUAAAUAGAUCUAAUAUAUUCGAUUGUGAAAUUCGCAAGAGGCGUGGAGAAUCGCAACAUUAUGAAAUAGCGAAAAACAAGAGCAAGCUCUUGUACAACAGCAAACUUACGUGUACAAUUUAUCCUCUGCAUUCUUCAUAUUUAUAAAAUACUGAUGCUGACUGGAAUUAGCCACGACAGUAUAAUUGAUUCUAGAUUGUCUGGCCAAUUGUUCCAAAGAUUGCACAGGAGACUACAAACAACACACAAUAUUAAUUCUCAUUUUGAGGAUCAAAAGUAAGGAAAGCAGCUAAGUUAGCAGUGAACGUAGCCAACAUUAAAACAACGAAUAACCAAUAAGCAGCAACUAGUAUCCUGCUUGAUAACGCUUUGGGUGCCUCGCCGCCACCUUGGGGUGUAAAAGACGUCAAGGCGAACCAGAAACUCUCCUUCAACGUGAAUUCCCUGAAACACAGGAUAUAAUUACGUUUAACGUAAUCAUUAUUGAUUAAAUUUUAGAAAUUUUAAAGUUAUUACCGACAAGGAUACGGAUACAGUUGUUUAUUAUUCCUGGCGCUGUAAGGAGAAUAUUUGUCAAGUAUCCAAAUCAUGAUGCCAG